CAUUUGUUCUCUAAAUAAGGACUUGUAUGAAUGGCCACACGAGGGUUCUACUGUCUCUUACUUCCGAUCAGUGAAAUUGACCUCCCCGUGAAGAGGCGGGGAUAGACUAACAAGACGAGAAGACCCUAUGGAGCUUCAACUAACUAACCCAAAGAAAAUAAACUUAAUCACCAAGAGAUAACAACACUCUUUAUGGGUUAACAGUUUCGGUUGGGGUGACCUCGGAGAACAAAAAAUCCUCCGAGCGAUUUUAAAGACUAGACUUACAAGUCAAAUCAAACUAUCGCUUAUUGAUCCAAAUAUUUGAUCAACGGAACAAGUUACCCUAGGGAUAACAGCGCA
rnacentral:rRNA from 1 species